rnacentral:rRNA from 1 species
AAAUUGAAGAGUUUGAUCAUGGCUCAGAUUGAACGCUGGCGGCAGGCCUAACACAUGCAAGUCGAACGGUAACAGGAAGCAGCUUGCUGCUUUGCUGACGAGUGGCGGACGGGUGAGUAAUGUCUGGGAAACUGCCCGAUGGAGGGGGAUAACUACUGGAAACGGUAGCUAAUACCGCAUAACGUCGCAAGACCAAAGAGGGGGACCUUAGGGCCUCUUGCCAUCGGAUGUGCCCAGAUGGGAUUAGCUAGUAGGCGGGGUAA